GGGUUAUGUGUCUGUGAGGCCCCCAGUCCUCUGGAGGGUUAUGUGUCUGUUAUGAGGCUCGUCCCCCAGUCCUCUGGUGGGUUAUGUGUCUGUUAUGAGGCUCAUCCCCCAGUCCUCUGGUGGGUUAUGUGUCUGUUAUGAGGCUCGUCCCCCAGUCCUCUGGAGGGUUAUGUGUCUGUUAUGAGGCUCGUCCCCCAGUCCUCUGGAGGGUUAUGUGUCUGUUAUGAAGCUCAUCCCCCAGUCCUCUGGUGGGUUAUGUGUCUGUUAUGAGGCUCGUCCCCCAGUCCUCUGGAGGGUUAUGUGUCUGUUAUGAGGCUCGUCCCCCAGUCCUCUGGUGGGUUAUGUGUCUG
ensembl:lncRNA